rnacentral:misc_RNA from 1 species
CCCAACUAUCCCUAUUAAUCAUUACGUCAAUCCUAGAAACCAACAAAAUAAGAUCGAACGUCCUAUUUCAUUAUUCCAUGCUAAUGUAUUCAAGCGUUAGCCUGCUUUAAACACUCUAAUUUUUUCAAAGUAACAGUCCAGAUUCCUCGCAACACCAAAUUAAUGGCAUUACGUCUCAUCAGGAAGGAGGAAUCAGUGAGACCAGUACAUACCAGUGGCAUGACCAACCUACUAACCCCGAAAUUCAACUACGAGCUUUUUAACUGCAACAACUUUAAUAUACGCUAUUGGAGCUGGAAUUACCGCGGCUGCUGGCACCAGACUUGCCUCCAA